CCUGAGCCAAAAUCAAUAGUUAGAUGCUUACUGACUGAGCCACCCAGGCGCCCUGGAAGCCUGGGUUUUUAAUUGUCAGUGGAUAAGAAGGAAGGAUGUUUCCCACUCUCCAAGGGCUUUGGGAAUGACUGACUGCAUGAGUGUCGUCGGUGUACUAGCUGAAAUAACAGGAAGUAUCUGACUGUAAUUCCAAGGAAACAUGGACUCCUUUGUUUUAUCUCUUAAUACAAUUUUAUUGUUUUUUAAGUGAAAAAGUAAAUAUUAAAUACUAUUAUACAGUA